AGUCGAGCGAGCGGAACUAACAGAUUUACUUCGGUAAUGACGUUAGGAAAGCGAGCGGCGGAUGGGUGAGUAACACGUGGGGAAUCUGCCCCAUAGUCUGGGAUACCACUUGGAAACAGGUGCUAAUACCGGAUAAGAAAGCAGAUCGCAUGAUCAGCUUUUAAAAGGCGGCGUAAGCUGUCGCUAUGGGAUGGCCCCGCGGUGCAUUAGCUAGUUGGUAAGGUAAAGGCUUACCAAGGCGAUGAUGCAUAGCCGAGUUGAGAGACUGAUCGGCCACAUUGGGACUGAGACACGGCCCAAACUCCUACGGGAGGCAGCAGUAGGGAAUCUUCCACAAUGGACGCAAGUCUGAUGGAGCAACGCCGCGUGAGUGAAGAAGGUUUUCGGAUCGUAAAGCUCUGUUGUUGGUGAAGAAGGAUAGAGGUAGUAACUGGCCUUUAUUUGACGGUAAUCAACCAGAAAGUCACGGCUAACUACGUGCCAGCAGCCGCGGUAAUACGUAGGUGGCAAGCGUUGUCCGGAUUUAUUGGGCGUAAAGCGAGCGCAGGCGGAAGAAUAAGUCUGAUGUGAAAGCCCUCGGCUUAACCGAGGAACUGCAUCGGAAACUGUUUUUCUUGAGUGCAGAAGAGGAGAGUGGAACUCCAUGUGUAGCGGUGGAAUGCGUAGAUAUAUGGAAGAACACCAGUGGCGAAGGCGGCUCUCUGGUCUGCAACUGACGCUGAGGCUCGAAAGCAUGGGUAGCGAACAGGAUUAGAUACCCUGGUAGUCCAUGCCGUANACGAUGAGUGCUAAGUGUUGGGAGGUUUCCGCCUCUCAGUGCUGCAGCUAACGCAUUAAGCACUC
rnacentral:rRNA from 1 species